UAUAAAAUAGCCUAGUGGACAUGGCAUCUGCCCGGUAAGCGGAACAUUGUGGGUUCGAUUCCCAUCCCUGGACACUUUUAUUU
rnacentral:tRNA from 1 species